rnacentral:miRNA from 1 species
CUUUAAUACUAUCUCAAAAUAAAGGAUAUAGAAGGUUUUUCCUUUCUCUUGCCCUGAAACCUUCUGUAUCCUUUAUUUUGAGAUAGUAUUAAAA